GGGCUAUUGGAGGAAGGACAUGAUAAAAAUGUUAAACAGACAUUAUGCAUUUAGAAUAGGCUGACUGAGCCAGAGAUAUGGAGGUUGCAGCAACUUGUAUUUUUCUGUCAUAAUCAUUAUCCAGCUCUCUUCAUCUUGGGUGAUUCAGGGCCUUUUUCCACAGAAGAGGAAAGGAACAGCAUAAUAAUGCUGCAAUACAACACCACAAUAACUCAUAAUAGGCCAAUGUGGUCGUUCUGCAAUUAUUUACGCUUUAAGUGGUUUAUGUUCCUUUGGCAUGGCUGCUGCACAGCACAUCCUGGUUGUGCUCUGAAAAGACUCACCCAUCAUCCCUCAGCUCACUGUUCUUGACAGGUGCGUUUUGUUGUGUUUCUUUCAGAAUACACUCCCUGUGCUAUCAACAACUCAUGGUUUUGACAUCCCUUUGGUUACACUCCAAGAUUUUACCUCAAGUGCCCAUCAUCCUGAAGGACGUUUGCUUCUAAGUGCUAAAUCUUCCUCAGGUGGCAGCAUCAUGUGGGAUGAAAUGAAAUCUGUUGGGUGUGCAUUUCAUUCUUUCUGGGGGUGUUUAUUUCUAAUAUGUCAUUUAGAAGCCAAUUCAUUGGGAUCAGCUGAAUUUUACAACACAUUUUUCCUUCUGGGUCAAACCUCUCUUCAAGACCAAAGGGCUGAGAAAUGGUCUGAUGCCGAAUUGAAGGCUAGGAGCAAAACACACAUCUGUGUCCACAGACUGAUAGGGAAGCAUGUGACAGAACACCACAAUGACUUCAAAGUUUUGUACAAAGGAAGCAAACCUCUUGAGGGAAGACUUGGGAAAUUCUGUCAUUGAGAAAUAAACCCAGCUUGCAGAAUGUGA